GACGGAGCAAGACCGCGUGCGGGAGGAAGGUCUAUUGACUGUAAACCGCUUUUGAUAGGGAAGAAGAUCUGACGGUACCUAUCGAAUCAGCAUCGGCUAACUCCGUGCCAGCAGCCGCGGUAAUACGGGGGAUGCAAGCGUUAUCCGGAAUUAUUGGGCGUAAAGCGUCCGUAGGUGGUUUUAAAAGUCUGUUGUUAAAGCGCGAGGCUUAACCUCGUAUAGGCAGUGGAAACUAUAAGACUAGAGUGCGGUAGGGGUAGAGGGAAUUUCCAGUGUAGCGGUGAAAUGCGUAGAUAUUGGAAAGAACACCGGUGGCGAAGGCGCUCUACUGGGCCUGCACUGACACUGAGGGACGAAAGCUAGGGGAGCG
rnacentral:rRNA from 1 species